rnacentral:rRNA from 1 species
GUCGAGCGGCAAGGUCUUCGGACCCUAGAGCGGCGCACGGGUGAGUAACGCGUACGCAAUCUGCCCUUCAGUGAGGAAUAGCCCUGGGAAACUGGGAUUAAUACCUCAUAAUAUUAAUAGAUCGCAUGGUUUAUUAAUUAAAGUUCUGGCGCUGAAGGAUGAGCGUGCGUCUGAUUAGCUAGUUGGUAGGGUAACGGCCUACCAAGGCUACGAUCAGUAGGGGGCGUGAGAGCGUGACCCCCCACACGGGUACUGAGACACGGACCCGACUCCUACGGGAGGCAGCAGUAAGGAAUAUUGGGCAAUGGAGGCAACUCUGACCCAGCCAUCCCGCGUGAAGGAUUAAGGCCCUAUGGAUUGUAAACUUCUUUUGUUUGGGAAGAAAUCUGGACAUUUAUGUGCAGUUGACGGUACCUUACGAAUAAGCACCGGCUAACUCCGUGCCAGCAGCCGCGGUAAUACGGAGGGUGCAAGCGUUAUCCGGAAUCACUGGGUUUAAAGGGUGCGUAGGCGGUUUGAUAAGUCAGAGGUGAAAGCUAGCAGCUUAACUGUUAAAUUGCCUUUGAUACUGUCAGACUUGAAUCAAGUUGAGGUAGGCGGAAUGUGACAUGUAGCGGUGAAAUGCAUAGAUAUGUCAUAGAACACCAAUUGCGUAGGCAGCUUGCUGGGCUUGAAUUGACGCUGAGGCACGAAAGCGUGGGGAUCAAACAGGAUUAGAUACCCUGGUAGUCCACGCCCUAAACGAUGUUAACUCGAUAUUUAUUCUUCGGAGUGAGUGUCCAAGCGAAAGCGUUAAGUUAACCACCUGGGGAGUACGUUCGCA